rnacentral:rRNA from 1 species
CUUUACUGUAGCCUGGUAUUGGGUUCGGGCUUUGACUGCGCAGGAUAGGUGGGAGACUGAGAAGUGUGCCUUGUGGGGCACAUAGAGUCAACGGUGAGAUACCACUCUGUCAAAGCUAGAAUUCUAACCUUCAGCCGUGAUCCGGCGGAGGAACAGUUUCAGGUGGGCAGUUUGACUGGGGCGGUCGCCUCCUAAAAGGUAACGGAGGCGCGCAAAGGUGUUCUCAGGCUGGUUGGAAAUCAGCCGUAGAGUGUAAAGGCAGAAGAACGCUUGACUGUGAGAGUGACAACUCAAGCAGGGUGGAAACACGGCCUUAGUGAUCCGACGGUAUGCGCGUGGAAGUGCCGUCGCUCAACGGAUAAAAGUUA